rnacentral:lncRNA from 10 species
AGUAAGGGAAAGCCGCCGGAGCUGGAGACAGGCUGGAAAGAGCAGGUAACAGCCCACAAGGAGCGGGGGCCCUGGCUGUCAGACUCAACUUGCAGGACCAUCAAGUGCAGGUGUGGUUCAAGAACCGGGGCCGCUUGCUCUGCGGUAGCAACGGCACAUAACCGCAGCGAUGACCAGGGCAGCCAAGCCAGCAGCCGGGACCCCGGGAUGCUCUUGGCACAUGAUCCGACUCCCCUGCCUUUGCGGGUCCUGUACUCCCGCGAGGUCCAGGAUUGUGCAGCCCCUCCCCAACCGGCCGUUGGGAAUCUUCGCAGCAGCAGAACCCGCUGCCUCCAGGUCCGACCAGACCUGCAUAGGUAGAGAGUCCCCGCACAGGGCGGCCAGCAGAGCUACCCAGCUGCCCCAGGGCCUCGGGACCCCUGGGCCUGGGACCCAGGCCAGACCCUGACUCAUUCGGUGAUCUCACAGGACUCCUCCCACCCCAAGACCCUUUCAGGGACCCUGCCUCGAACUCCACGACAUGGGAGGCAGGGGCGGGCCUUUUGCAGGGGAAGGACUCCCCCAGCAGGACGUUUACUGAAUCUGGAGGGAGUCGCCCUGCAGAUAUCCCGCGGAAGCCGGAGGAGACCCAGGUGCGCCCCACCGGCUAGCUGCGCCUGCGGGUGCCCAAAUUGGUGUCCGGGCCAUCCUCACCGCAGUGACUCCUCCGCAGCGCCAACGCACUCCAUUUUCCUUCCACCCUGCCGGUGGGGGGCGUUUGCUUGUUCUCACUCUGCAGCCGCAGCCAGUGGCGCCGCUACCAAGGUCCCCGCCUCGCCAUCCGGGUCCUGCCUGAGCAUCCUUAUUGGUGCUCAGGGCUAGGCGUGCAUUGCUGCUAGGGGCGCGGAAAGGUUUAUCGUGGGUGGAUGCUGCCCGGGGCUUGAGUGGUUUUUAGAGGUCUUGAGUGGCUCACUCUCCAAUCAGCGCUUUCUAGAGACAGCGUGGUCAGCGUACUUGCUUACUUUCAGGAUUGCGAGACGUCUUUAACCCUUGCUGAUCGGCUGACGCUGCAGCUUCCUGUGGCUUCCUGCUCAUUUCCCGCAAGAUAGCACUGAUAGGGUAUUGGAAAUCCUUAUGUAAAGUAUCUGUUCACUGUUUUUGCCCAUUUUCUUGAUUUAUUUGAACUGAUUCUUCUAUUCUUUUGAAGUUAAUGUGUUGCAAUUUUCACAUCUAUGUUGUUUUUUCAUUAGUGGCAUUUCUCAACUCCUUGAUUUCUUGAAUUUCAUGUUGUCUAUUUCAGUAUGUAUUAAAUUAUCUGUGACGGUGGACCAGUUUUGGUUUGUCUGUUUGUUUUAUUUCAAUCAAUGGCACACUGAAAUGCUCAAACAUUAAACUGUUGAAAAAAUUUAAUGGCAUUCGCAACCUAAGCCCACUCUCUCCCGCUUUUUUUUUUUUUUUUUUUUCAGAGUCACUCUGUCGUCCAGGCUGGAGAGCAGUGGCACAAUCUCAGCUCACUGCAACCUCUGCCUCCCGGGUUCAAAUGAUUCUCCUGCCUCAGCCUCCAGAGCAGCUGGGACUACAGGCACGGCACCACCAUGCCCGGUUAAUUUUUGUAUUUUUAGUAGAGACGGGGUUUCCCCAUGUUGGCCAGGCUGGUCUCGAACUCCUGGCCUCAAGUGAUCAGCCUGCCUCAGCCUCCCAAAGUGCUGGGAUUACAGCCAUGCGCCACUGCCCCCAGGCUAAGCCCCACUUUUUUAAUCAGUAGAGUAAG